rnacentral:rRNA from 1 species
CCUACGGGAGGCAGCAGUGGGGAAUAUUGGGCAAUGGGCGCAAGCCUUACCCAGCAAUACCGCGUGAGUGAAGAAGGUCUUCGGAUUGUAAAGCUCUUUGAUCAGGGACGAACAGAUGACGGUACCUGAAGAACAAGCCCUGGCUAACUACGAGCCAGCAGCCGCGGUAAAACGAAGGGGGCGAGCGUUGUCCUGAAUGACUGGGCGUAAAGGGUGGGUCGGCGGCAUAAUAAGUUAGAAGUGAAAUACCCCGAGCUUAACUCGGGUGCUGCUUCUAAGACUGUUGAGCUUGAGUGCGGGAGAGGUUAGUGGAAUUCCUAGUGUAGCGGUUGAUUGCGUAGAUAUUAGGCGGAACCCCAGCGGCGAAGGCGAUUCACUGGACCGUAACUGACGCUGAGGCACGAACGUGUGGGUAGCAAACAGGAUUAGAUACCCUUGUAGUC